UUUCAAAGUUGUCUUAUUCAAUAAUACAAAGGAGUGGGACACGGUGAUCAAUUAAUAAUCUCGUCUUGUGCACAUGUGAACUUUCAAGGUCAGUUCCCUUCCAAAGCUGCCAAUAUCAUGCAUGGCGCCUAUAAAUUAGAGUGGCAGCGAAGAGGCAAUGAUAAACACAAAUAUUUCAAACAUGAAAGCCUUUCUUGUGAUCAUAUGCAUUCUCUUAGCAACCAUCGUCUUCUCUGAUCCCUCAUCCACCAGUGCUGCUCGAGAAUUACUGCAGGUCGGGAAAGAUCCAUAUAGGGGAUCUGGCCCCGUCAAUUCAGGACCUCCAUGCGGUAGUAGCAAACAAAGUUGCCACCCCAGUCCAAAGCCAGGACCAAAUAAACCAAAAAAACACUGUGAAUCUUCUGCUAGGCAAUCUGAUUGUGGCCCAAAUUGAAGAUUGAAGGCAAGCAAGGUUGUAUACGUGCUUAGGAGUGACAGCAGCUAGUCAUGUCAUGUGUGUGUAUGCUAUUUUCAUUCGAUUCGAGCUAUAUACAUUUAUGUAAGAAAAAUAAAUUAACUUCCAGCAUCAUGAUCGGGUCUUGAUUUUUCUUGGUUUUGAUUCCAUGAAAUUGUGUAAUCUUUGUUGAAGUUUAUGCAAAAUAAAUAAAGAGCUAGCUAUCUUCUCUUC